rnacentral:rRNA from 1 species
UGGAUCCAGACUUUGAUUUGGCUCAGGAUGAACGCUAGCUACAGGCUUAACACAUGCAAGUCGAGGGGCAGCAUGUCGGUAGCUUGCUACCGAUGAUGGCGACCGGCGCACGGGUGAGUAACGCGUAUCCAACCUGCCAUUGUCCCGCGCAUAACCCGGUGAAAACCGGACUAAUUCGCGAUGUGUCCCGUUGAGGCAUCGAUUCGGGAUGAAAGAUUUAUCGGACAGUGAUGGGGAUGCGUCUGAUUAGCUUGCCGGCGGGGUAACGGCCCACCGGGGCGACGAUCAGUAGGGGUUCUGAGAGGAAGGUCCCCCACAUUGGAACUGAGACACGGUCCAAACUCCUACGGGGGGCAGCAGUGAGGAAUAUUGGUCAAUGGGCGCGAGCCUGAACCAGCCAAGUAGCGUGCAGGAUGACGGCCCUACGGGUUGUAAACUGCUUUUAUGCGGGGAUAAAGUCCGCCACGUGUGGCGUUUUGCAGGUACCGCAUGAAUAAGGACCGGCUAAUUCCGUGCCAGCAGCCGCGGUAAUACGGAAGGUCCGGGCGUUAUCCGGAUUUAUUGGGUUUAAAGGGAGCGUAGGCCGCCGAUUAAGCGUGUUGUGAAAUGCCGUGGCUCAACCAUGGCACUGCAGCGCGAACUGGUUGGCUUGAGUGCGCGGAAGGCAGGCGGAAUUCGUGGUGUAGCGGUGAAAUGCUUAGAUAUCACGAAGAACCCCGAUUGCGAAGGCAGCUUGCCGCAGCGCUACUGACGCUGAAGCUCGAAGGUGCGGGUAUCGAACAGGAUUAGAUACCCUGGUAGUCCGCACGGUAAACGAUGGAUGCCCGCUGUGUGCCAUUAUGGUACGCGGCCAAGCGAAAGCGUUAAGCAUCCCACCUGGGGAGUACGCCGGCAACGGUGCAACUCAAAUGAAUUGACGGA